rnacentral:rRNA from 1 species
AUUAACGCUGGCGGCGUGCAUAACACAUGCAAGUCGAACGAUGAAACUUAGUAGACUUCUUCGGAAAGCCACUAAGCGGAUUAGUGGCGAACGGGUGAGUAACGCGUGAGUAACCUGCCUUACACAAGGGGAUAGCCUUUGGAAACGAAGAAUAAUACCCUAUAAAACCAUAAAAGCACAUGCUAGAAUGGUCAAAGUGAUAGCGGUGUAAGAUGGACUUGCGUCUGAUUAGCUAGUUGGUGAGAUAAAAGCUCACCAAGGCAACGAUCAGUAGCCGGCUUGAGAGAGUGUACGGCCACAUUGGGACUGAGACACGGCCCAGACUCCUACGGGAGGCAGCAGUGGGGAAUGUUGCACAAUGGGGGAAACCCUGAUGCAGCGACGCCGCGUGAUUUAGAAGGCCUUCGGGUUGUAAAAAUCUUUUGUAUAGGAAGAAAAUGACAGUACUAUACGAAUAAGGUCCGGCUAAUUACGU